GGCUGGUCCGAUGGUAGUGGGUUAUCAAAACUUAUUAACAUUAGUGUCACUACAGUUGAUAUACAGCCCCCCACUGCUAAAUUUGACUGGCUUUAA
rnacentral:Y_RNA from 1 species